UAACACGUGGGCGAUCUGCCCUGCACUCUGGGACAAGCCCUGGAAACGGGGUCUAAUACCGGAUAUGACCUUCCUCCGCAUGGGGGUUGGUGUAAAGCUCCGGCGGUGCAGGAUGAGCCCGCGGCCUAUCAGCUUGUUGGUGGGGUAAUGGCCUACCAAGGCGACGACGGGUAGCCGGCCUGAGAGGGCGACCGGCCACACUGGGACUGAGACACGGCCCAGACUCCUACGGGAGGCAGCAGUGGGGAAUAUUGCACAAUGGGCGAAAGCCUGAUGCAGCGACGCCGCGUGAGGGAUGACGGCCUUCGGGUUGUAAACCUCUUUCAGCAGGGAAGAAGCGCAAGUGACGGUACCUGCAGAAGAAGCACCGGCUAACUACGUGCCAGCAGCCGCGGUAA
rnacentral:rRNA from 1 species